rnacentral:rRNA from 1 species
GACGAACGCUGGCGGCGUGCUUAACACAUGCCAGUCGAACGGAAAGGCCCUGCUUUUGUGGGGUGCUCGAGUGGCGAACGGGUGAGUAACACGUGAGUAACCUGCCCUUGACUUUGGGAUAACUUCAGGAAACUGGGGCUAAUACCGGAUAGGAGCUCCUGCUGCAUGGUGGGGGUUGGAAAGUUUCGGCGGUUGGGGAUGGACUCGCGGCUUAUCAGCUUGUUGGUGGGGUAGUGGCUUACCAAGGCUUUGACGGGUAGCCGGCCUGAGAGGGUGACCGGCCACAUUGGGACUGAGAUACGGCCCAGACUGCUACGGGGGGCAGCAGUGGGGAAUAUUGCACAAUGGGCGGACGCCUGAUGCGGCAACGCCGCGUGCGGGAUGACGGCCUUCGGGUUGUAAACCGCUUUCGCAUGUGCCGAAGCGUGAGUGACGGUAAUGGGUAAAGAAGCACCGGCUAACUACGUG